rnacentral:misc_RNA from 1 species
GAAGUGCGACAAGUGUCAUGACUUGCAGAUUCCCGAGAGCUGACAAAUUUCUGAAUGCAAAUGGCGGCCGCCAACACCGGCCAUGUAUUGCAGAGUGUAGUUGUUCCUACUCAUCAUCCCUCAACAACCCAUUGUUGUUGCAUUGGGGACCUGCGCUUGCGACGACUGCGCGAGCGUGAAAAAGAGGAGCAUCGAGUCGGCUAAGCUUGCCUUGACCUGCUCGAUGACUUCGGAAGACCAAACUUCCUGGAGUUUGAGCUCCCUCUACUAACUUUCGACAGCCACCUCUGCGAUGCAGGAGAACCCGCUGAACUUAA